GGAAGUAAAAGUCUAACAAGGUCUCCGUAGGUGAACCUGCGGAGGGAUCAUUACAGAGUUCAUGCCCUACCGGGUAGAUCUCCCACCCUAUGUUAUUAUUACUUUGUUGCUUUGGCGGGCCGUUAGGCUCCGGCCCGACUACCGGCCCCGGCUGGUAAGCGCCCGCCAGAGGACCCAAAACCCUGAGUAUUAGUGUCGUCUGAGUACUAUAUAAUAGUUAAAACUUUCAACAACGGAUCUCUUGGUUCUG
rnacentral:misc_RNA from 1 species